ACAGUGGACGGAUUUGCCAGCUUGCAACCACUUAAAAAAAUGCUAAAACAUGA
rnacentral:ncRNA from 1 species